rnacentral:piRNA from 1 species
AGUGCGAACUCAGACUGGAAAGG